rnacentral:tRNA from 1 species
GGGGAUGUGGUUGGACGUUCGGCUGCCGUCUCAAAAUCGAGCGGGAAACCGUGGGGGUUCGAGUCCCCCCAUCGGCACCA